GACGAACGCUGGCGGCGUGCUUAACACAUGCAAGUCGAACGGUGAAGCUCAAGCUUGCUUGGGUGGAUCAGUGGCGAACGGGUGAGUAACACGUGAGCAACCUGCCCCGGACUCUGGAAUAAGCGCUGGAAACGGCGUCUAAUACUGGAUAUGACAUCAAUCCGCAUGGGUAUGGUGUGGAAAGUUUUUCGGUCUGGGAUGGGCUCGCGGCCUAUCAGCUUGUUGGUGAGGUAAUGGCUCACCAAGGCGACGACGGGUAGCCGGCCUGAGAGGGCGACCGGCAAAACUGGGACUGAGACACGGCCCAGACUCCUACGGGGGGCAGCAGUGGGGAAUAUUGCACAAUGGGCGAAAGCCUGAUGCAGCGACGCCGCGUGAGGGAUGACGGCCUUCGGGUUGUAAACCUCUUUCAGCAGGGAAGAAGCGAAAGUGACGGUACCUGCAGAAGAAGCACCGGCUAACUACGUGCCAGCCGCCGCCGUAAUAC
rnacentral:rRNA from 1 species